rnacentral:sRNA from 2 species
AAGGGUAAUUUAAAAAUCCGCACAUAUGUCGUCACAUUACUCUGGGUGCCUGAAAGGGUGGAGAAUGCGGACAUAUGGAGGCCUAAC